GUCAACGGCCAUAUCACGUAGAACGCACCUGGUCUCGUCAGCUCCCAGAAGUUAAGUUACGUCGAGUCCCGUUAGUACUUGGAAGGGUGACCGCUUGGUCGGGGACGGGAUGUCGUUGGCG
rfam:Daphnia pulex DAPPTscaffold_15334_Cont18989, whole genome shotgun sequence.